UGAUGAUAGACGAGUACGCGAGGAAGCACAACCUGAAUGUCUUCGACGGGCUCGAGCUGAGGAACUCGACACGCCAGUACGGACUUUAAUAGUAAUACAUAGUUUUUACCCACUCGCAAACAGGCAAACACUGGUCGUAUUAAAGGUUCUUGAAUGCUGAUCUAAAUAAUUGAUAAACGACUGAAUAUUAGGUAUGAAUAUAAGGAGCUGCGGUUUGUUUUAAUACCAGAGACCUACAGCGUUCAAGGGUUACGUAACGCAAUUUGGGGGGAGGGGUGGUCUAAGACAUGUAUAUUCGGUGCGUUAAAAGGGAGGGGUAGGGAAGGUUUAUACAAUAUAAAACAAGGAAUUUAGAAUCUUGCGAAACCGCAACCAUUUUCGUAUAUAAUGUUUUACGGGGAAAAUGUAAAAUUUUACGUCACGUUUAGGAAUGUGGAACAGAAAAACGUUGCGAUGCCGUUAUAUAGGAGAGAUCCCGAGGGUCUCAAAUCUUCAAUAAUUGCGUUAAGUAAUACUUGAACGUUUCUUCAGCAAGUUGUGUGUAGAGCGAUUUCUCUCUUUCACACCGCAAUAACAAUCCCUUAAAGAUAUGGCGGUAGGCCUUCUGUAUUUUAAAAGGGCGCAGUUUAUAGUCACACUGUGACGUCAUUCUAUCUCUGCCAUUCAGCUUUAUCGUGACAGAGACAGUAUGAUAUUAAUGUGUUGUUUUUAAAUACGGGUAUGAGUUGUCAUUAAAAGACAAGUUCAGAUCAGCAUUCCUGAAACUUUGGUUAGGUUUUGAUAGUACAUUCGAUGACAAACAUUUUAAAUUAACAGGGUUGUUUGUAGCAUUGAUAGUCCGAAAGAGUCUUUUUUUCUGAAAGAAGCAAACCUGAAUACUGGCUAUAUUAGCUUACUCAAGCUUUUAUAUGAUGGUUGUGCGAGGUUAAUGUGUAAACAACCCUAGAGAAUCACAAAAUUUGAAUAUUUUGAUUUUUAAAGAUCCUGAAUCGAACAAAGAUAUUUAAAUUCCCAAUAAAGAUAUUCUACCUAUAAUGAUUUCAGUCUGAGCAAAAGCCACCAACGGUAGUUUUUUUCCAUAGUCGUACCUAUACUUAAUUGUUUGAUUUUCAUCGCGUGUCAAUCAACGUGCAAAUUAGUAUUAAUUAAUUGAUAGAUGUGAUAACGGCACGGUAUAUCAGGUAAUUCUAGCUAAUUAUAAAUUAAUUCAAUUUAAACGUAGGAAAGUAGGUACUUCGCAGACGAGGCAACGCGAAUCAUAUUUUCUAACUGCCAUGUAUACCAUGAAACCGACUUCGAAUCUAAUUAAAUUUGCACCAAACGACAGGUUUUUCACGUUAAAUAAAACAGAAUCAAUUCAUCCAGUCCUCUGAGGUCUGAGGUCACAAACAUAAAAAUGGAUAGGAAAGUUAAGAAGCUUCUCUUUUUAAAGUCUGUUUAAAAGUAAAACCUGUGCAGUUGUGCAAAUGGCGUAGAGUGGCAUCUCUUUCCUACAACUGUUAUAAGGGUUGGUAAGAGGCCCUGCUGACCUUCUAUGUAUCAUUCUAUGCUUUAAAUCUGAAGCCGUCGUGUAUAAUAGCAUCUUUAAAGCUAUUCCCGUAUUGCCUCGUGUAUGAAGGACAGUUUUAAACAGUUCCGAUAUUAUUUAUAAUUCUAUUUCAGUAUUAAUAGAAUAGCGCAAGACCAGUUGAUUAUCUUGUCUUUUCUUGUAAAUUUAUCUUUCUGUAUAUUUGAAACACGUGUAAUUUAGUAAAAUAUGAAUUUAACACACGUUAAAUAUUGAGAUAAUUAUUGUUUCUUUUUUAAAAAUAAUAGAUAAAAAUGUUUGUCAUUGAUUUUACUAAUUAAAUUGUAAUUAAAUUAUCGAUGCCAAUUUUGUUCAUGUCACUAAUAUCAUAAACCCAGAAAUGGUUAAAACAAAAUUUUUUUUCUAUAAAAAUCGAACCAAAAACUUCAAAUUUAAAUGUUAAUUAAAUGAAAAAAAGUACAUAACCUUUUAUGGCCUUACGCCCUAAUUCGGCCCUUAUUCUUAUUCAUGAAAUGGAUAUUGCCAAUUAAUUUUAAAGUAAUGUUUAUGAAGGAUUAUUUUACACUCCACGUGACGUUGUUAAUAUCUAUUCACCCCUAUAUUCAACGCAUAAACUAUAAAGUUUUUAAGCUGUACUGUGCAGGCCAAGAAUAUAACUUCCUCUUUGUAAUUAUAUCUUAUAAUUAUUGAUAUUACUAAAAAAAAACAAUAAAAAAUCAGUGUUGAAUUUCGUCGUACUUUUGUUCUAUUCUAUCGAUUUUAUGUAUGUGCACCGAUUGCGACAAGAUUUCACCAAUAGCAAUAGCAAUCAAACAAUCGAUAAGAAAUUUCGGGGUAUCAUCUGUAGGGGGCAUCAAAUUAAUUAUAAAGAGAAGUAGAAACUUUGAAAUCGUUUUUUUUUUCAAUAAUGUGUCAACAAAUAUUUGACGUCAAAUAUGGUUAUGUAGAAUAUCCACACAGAAACAUAAACAUAUAUAAUAUUUUUUGUAAUGAGUCAUUUGCAUUUCAUUCUCCACUGUCGGUUUUGAAAUACUAAAAUAGGUUUUAUUUAUCAUUAAGUAAUAAAGUACCAAUGUCAGACAUUCCACUCGUAAAAUACAUAGUUUGAGACGAAACCGAACUUGCAAAUACACACAAUAAUUAUUUUAUUUGAUGCUGUAUACAGACGUAAUAAAUCACGGGAAAUACGAGUUUAAUUGAUAAUAAACUAUAAAAUUUAAAUUUAUUGGUUGCCAAAUACAACUGUACUAGCAAUUUACAAAGCCUUGAUUCGAUUUUAUUACUAUAAAUAAGAUAUCUAUGAGGAAAAUGAAUUUUGAGAUUUAUGGGAUCGUAUUAAUUGUUAUAAACAUUAAUAAAGCUGCGUAUUUGCAGAUCUUAUUUAGAUAAUUUCAAUUUGUUAUGUUUGCCUAAAACAAUAAUAUUUGGGGGUCUACUAUAAAAUUUUGCUUUUAUAAGCGGUGGUAGAGCUCUGUGAUAAGUUUGACAACGUAAUAUUUAAUAUUAUCCAAUAAAUAAAGUAGUAAUCUUGUCAAAAAAUGCUUAAUUUUUGAAGAAACUAAUUAAACGUUGUUUUUAAGUCAAUGUUUAUUGAAUUAGCUAACUUAUCCCAAAAUGUCAAUCAGUAAGCUCAUAAUAUCAAGAAAGUAUAGUUUUAAUUUAAGUUUUGAUAUUAAUAUAAUCGAUUUAUAAUUUUAGUGACGGGAAAAUUUAAACUUCGAAUUCAAAGUUAUCGAUAUAGUUGAAUAAUAAAUAGCAAUAAAAUAGUUUUAUUUGAUUGAAACAUACAUAUUUCAAUUGCAUUCAAAUAAUUGUAGACAAUUGACUAGUUUAAUGAUAGUUCUUGUGAAAUCUCGCGAUUAACCAUUCCCUGCGUUACAGUUACGGUUAACCGCUAAAAUUUUCGUAAUAUUUGUGCCGUUUCUUUCGUAAACGGUUAUUAAAAUUGUUUUAUCUUUUAUUGCUAUCUGUUUUAGAUCAGUGGUUAAUGAUGUGUUGUAAAGUAUAACUUAAUAAUAAGUUUGAAACAUUUUUUUUAAACUGGCUGAUUUUGAAUGUUUUAGGUAUAAUAAAUACAUCAUAACUUUUUUUAAGGAAAUAUAUAAAUGUUGCCUGUUUCACAAUUUGAAAGAUAUGCAUUAUUUUGUAUGUGAAAAGAGAAAAGAUAUGCACUUUUUCGUAGUCUGUAAAGGCAGAUAUUUUAUCGGAUAUUUAAGUAAUUGUCUUUAGCUGCAAUCGACCCGGUAAUAUUAAUGGCAUCCAAUAAAUUACUAGUUCAUAUCGACAAUUUGUUGCAUCGAUACUUCUGCUACAACACUAAAAGUAAUAUUAAAGAAAUUAUCAACAAUUUGUAAAACAUAUUAGUAAGGAAAAAAAAUACCAAUGAAUAAACAAAUCAACUCGUUUAAUUAAUUGUACACGUUUAACCGAUUAAUUACAAAUGCCCGAUGAAUUUCGUAUCAGCCGAUACAUUGUGAUACUUUGCAAGUUCGGUUUCAUCGUCGCUAGUGACAUGACAAAAUUGUUGCAUCGAUAAGUGGUCAAGAAUGAGCUGUAUCACAACACAGUCUAACCAGUCGUGAUUUCAACUUUACAGUGACCGGACGAAGGUGGCGAAAUUCGAUAUAAACCAUCAGUGACGUUCGAAUUUACCGGCCAUCAUAGUGUUGUGCUAGUGUCGAUAUUUUAUUUAGAAUUAUUUUCUUUUUUGUAGGAAAAUGCUGGAAACUCAUAAUUUAAGUGGUGUUAUCUCGUCGUCCAUGGACUUAUUUUGAGAAUGAUACUUUGUUUUACAAGUGCCGUGUUUUGUGUGGACGCUUGCUGUGCGUUGCUGUUAUGCGAACGUCGGACAAUACUGUGCGUCUUCCUGGAGCAAUGGGAUCCUUAGCAUAUCAUAUAGAAGUGCAACAUAAUAGACAACAUCCACAUGUGCCAACAUGCGCCCGCGCAGGUCACGAUGGGAAUGAACUUCGCUACACGUGGAUGAUAAUAUUGAUCUUAUAUAAUUGAGAUGAAUGACAAGCGUAUUCUUAUAUUCUUUUUUUCUUGAUUUAUAUCCGGUAGUUUAAUCUUAUGCUGGGUAAAAGCCUCUUUUCGUUUUGUCCACUCGGACUCGAGCGGUUUUCAUUUACGUAUGCACUUGAAAACGCUUAAUUUUUCAAAUUGUAUAUCAUGUUUUUCUAAAUUUUGUGUCGUUUAGUGGUAAUGUAACGUUUUUGUAAUAAUAAUUGAAACUUUUAAAGAUAUGAAACCCGUACUUAGUCAAGGAAUAAGAAAUAUUUCGAUAUUUUCAUCAUGUUGUCGCAGCUAUCUAUCUAUCUGAUAAAAAUUGACUUCUAACAUUUAUAAAGAGGUGUUUGCUCACCCCUUUUUGAAAAGCUGUAACUGUAACCUGUACUUAAACGACAGCAAAUCGAGAAUAAUGCACUAUUUGCAGCAAAGCGUCUUAUUUUCGAAAACACAUUGACUCUUCCUCUACUACGAACUCUAACACCUGAACAGUUGACAUUGUGUAAGCGAGAGAGCGCUCUACAUUGCAUAUAGUGCCCUCUCUCUCCCACAAUAAUAGAA